UCCAGCAUCAGCGAUUUUGUUGGC
rnacentral:miRNA from 1 species